rnacentral:rRNA from 1 species
GUGUCAGCCGCCGCGGUAAUACGAAGGGGGCUAGCGUUGUUCGGAAUUACUGGGCGUAAAGCGCUCGUAGGCGGAUCGAUCAGUCAGGGGUGAAAUCCCAGGGCUCAACCCUGGAACUGCCUUUGAUACUGUCGAUCUAGAGUCCGGAAGAGGUGAGUGGAAUUGCGAGUGUAGAGGUGAAAUUCGUAGAUAUUCGCAGGAACACCAGUGGCGAAGGCGGCUCACUGGUCCGGUACUGACGCUGAGGAGCGAAAGCGUGGGGAGCAAACAGGAUUAGAUACCCCUGUAGUCC